CGUAAAGAAGCUGCGUUGUUGAUGCUGACUGUGUAAUGGCAGACGGGUGAAAUCUCUCCUCAAACCUUCUCAUGCUCCAGAAAGCAAUGGCAUUUCAUUCGUAAUGUCAUGAGUCAUCUUUAAUAAAGAGAGCAAGGCGCUCUGAUCCUGGCUCGUAAAAUCGAGUUUGGCUUGCUGUUCAUCUGCGUUAACAUACUGGGCGUGUACAACACGUAGUGGGAACAGUAUAGUGAAAUGCCAAUUAUCGAGAGGCAAAGAUGUCAGUGCAAGACGCAACAAUGGAUUCUGAGCAGCAAACUGAAGCAACAGUUGGAAAAGCUAAAUCUGAAGCAAGUCACAAUCAUGCAGUAUCAUCCAAGUCAUCUGGGUCCCGAGCCUCCAGUAAAUCCUCGAUUGUUGAAGCAGCUGCUAGAGCUUGAGCUUUGGCUGAAACUACAAAAGCUAAAAUUGCCUAUGCCAGAAAACAGUUAGAGCUCAAAGAAGAAAGAGCUAGACUGGAGGCACAGCUAGAAGUCCUUGAAAUUGAAAAAGAAGCAGCAGCAGCUGUCGCCAAGGCUGAAGUUUUAGAGGCUGCUGUGGCCGAAGACCGUGAUGGUUUCAGGAGUGUGCGAAGUUCAGUCCCCUUUCAAGUUGUUCAGAAAAGAACAGAAGAAUAUGUGCAGAGUCAAACAGUACACAGCUUUCCAGAUAAACAAUCAAACAUUGAACCGCCACUACUUGUGAGUAAUGGUGUGAGCUCACCAUCCAAGCUCCCAGCAAUCAAACCAUCAGAGACCACCAGCCUGCCAGUAAAAUAUGAAACACCCUCAUCCCUCUGGCACCCUCAUCCUUCUGGCACACCGAAACACCAAGAAAAGGUGAAUCAUCCAACCUCCUCUCGCCAUGCUGAGCCCCCUCCUAUGGUUGACUUCGCCAGAUUUCUGGCUCGUAGGGAAUUGAUAACUAUUGGUCUUUUUAAGUUUGAUGAUACUCCUGAAAGUUACAGAUCAUGGCAGUCAUCAUUUCUAAACGCUAUAGAAGACCCUGACCUCACAUUUGGCGAAGAGUUAGGUCGUGUGGUGAAAUGGCUGGGCAAAGAAUCGUCAGAGCACGUGAAAAGGAUUCGAGCCGCUUACGCCACCAAUCCUCAAGCUGCACUUCAAGCAUCAUGGGAUAGACUUAGAGAGUGUUAUGCUACACCAGAAGUUGUAGAAAAUGCCCUGUUUGGUAGGUUGGAUAGCUUCCCACGUCUUUCAGUCAGAGACAAGGCAAAGUUGAGAGAGCUCAGUGAUUUGCUCUUGGAACUCCUGGCAGCUAAAAAUGAGAACUACCUCCCAGGCCUUGCUUAUCUAGAUACACCACGCUGUAUAAAACCUGUAGUUGAAAAACUGCCUCCAGGUUUACAAGACAAGUGGCUUCAGACUGGUUCACGGUACAAAAAAGAACAUGGUGUGGUGUUUCCACCUUUCUCCUUUUUUGUGGACUUCAUCUAUGAGCAGGCUAAAGCCAGAAAUGACCCAAGUUUCACUCUACCACACAGCAGCCAAUCAUACAGUAAAGGUGAAAGAGUCCCAUUCAAACCCAGUGCACACAGAGCAUCUGUCUCAGUCCAUAAAACUGAAGUUGCCUCAGCCGCAGACAUAAACUCAAAGGAUAAUGAUCUUACACGCUUUUGCCCUAUUUGUAAGAAUGAACGUUGGAAUGUUGGAGCUUAGUUUUUGAUCUGUGCAAAUAAAGUAACUUAUAUAAUGAUUGUGAA